CUUCCUACCUCAGGAUUUUCUCUCUGCCUAUAUGUUCCUCUAGUACUUGCAUUGUUUAAUACAAUAAUAAUUGUUAAUUUUUUGAUUCUUAUGGGAUUUAUUUUGAUAUAUGGUACAAAAUAGGAACCUUAAGUUUUCUCCCUGCCUAUUCUCCCUACCCUCCUUGUUGGUUCCAAUCUUCUUGACUCUGGUACCCACUGUAGCCAGUUCCCAAACAAGCAGAGCCAGAAGGGAAGAUCUGGUGGCAGAGAUCCUGCCUCAAAGAAGCUCAGAAACUUGAAGUGAGGGAUUGAGAAACUUCCUGAAGAAGCAGUAUGAUCUGUUUCAUAGCAGUAUAUGAUUAGAAUCACAUAGAUGUGGGUGAAGUCCAACUUCUGCCUCUUGUACCCUGUGGGACCUGGAGCAAGUCACUUGAUUUAUUUAAAUCUCAAUUUUUUAUCUGUAAAACUGGCAUACUAAUAGCACCUACCUCAAAAGAUGGAUGUGAGGACAAUGUGAUCAUAUGUUUGGCACAUAGCAAGCACCCAAUAUUAUCAGUAGAAGUAGGUAGAGGGGGCUUCCCAGAUGGCUCGGUGGUAAAGAAUCUACCUGCCAAUGGAGGAGACUCAGGUUCAAUCCCUGGGUCGGGAAGUUCCCCUGGAGGAGGAAAUGGCAACCAUGCCAGUAUUCUUGCCUGGAAAAUUCCAUGGCCAGAGUAGUCUGUCGGUCUACAGCCCAGGGGCUUGGACACGACUUAGCAGCUGAGCAUACUCGUAGUAGGUAGAGAGAAGACAAGGAACUGCAUGUGAUAUGGAGAUAUUAAAAAGAAACACAAGCUAUCAAUAAUUACAGAAAUAAAGGUAAUGAGUACAUGUGCUACAGUUAUAAUUUGAAUUCAAGAGAAUUUAUCCAGACCAAUUAGGGUUUCCUGUGAGGGGAAAAAAGAGAAUCAGGGUGGGGCUGGGGUAGGGGUGUGGCUCAUAUUUCUGCAGCCUGGAUCUACCAGAGUCUGGACUUCAACUAAACUCAGACAUUUCAAAAGAGUCGGGUAGCAUUUCUGUUCUCAAAUCCUGUCCCAAAGCUUCCUGAUGGACCUGUGUGGGUUGAAGAGAGUCAGCUGAACCAGUCAGCGUUUGGAGAGCUUACAGGACAGAGAGCACUGGGGCUUGAGGCUCUAAUGGGCAGCCAUGUCCCUCUGGCUCACCCCCAGCUGAGCAUUGCUGCAAAGAGAAAUAGUCACUGGACAUGAGCCAGGGGCACCAGUCAGCUUAACCAGAGGAAUCAAUGGACACUGUGUUUUGCCUCUGCAAAUGAGGAAAAUGACAUGGUGAGAAGGCAUAUGCCUUGUCCAGAAUCACAAAUCCCAUGGGGCAGAGAAAGCAGAGAGAAACAUUGCCUCAGAAGGAGCCAUUUCCCAUCGUGAGGAUGCCUGGAGCCCAGCCUUGAUUAACAAAGGCAUGGGAUGCUGCUGCUCAGCUCCUGAGCAGCGGAGGCCCAGUGUAUUUUUUUUAUGAGGCAUGGACAAUGAGUAACCGUUCAAAAGGCCAAAGCCGCCUUUUAGAAAAAGGCAAAUAUUUUAGGAAUCCCUUGUUACUAGGCAAAUGCCUGAUUGCUUUUUAGGGGAGUGAGGCUUAGCCUGAUGCCCUGUAUGUAGGACUUCAAGCUUGGAUUCUGGAUUUUGCUUCACUGGGACGUGUGUGUGCAUGCAUGCUAAGUCGCUUCAGUUAUUCCAUGGGGUCACUAAGAGUUGGACAUAACUGAAUGACUUCACUUUCGCUUUUCACUUUCAUGCACUGGAGAAGGAAAUGGUAACCCACUCCAGUGUUCUUGCCUGGAGAAUCCCAGGGACGGGGGAGCCUGGUGGGCUGCCGUCUAUGGGGUCACACAGAGUUGGAUACGAGCAGCAGCAGCAGCAGCAGG
ensembl:lncRNA